GGCGCCAGCACUUUCUGCAGUUCCUGGUACAUGGAGUUGGGGUCCAACUGGCCGCGGGGGUCCGCGAUGGCCGCCAUGCCCGCUCGCCCCUCCACUCCUAGGAAGACAGGCUCGGCUGAGAUCCCGCACAGCCACUAGACCGGAUGUGCACUCCGGCUCCCUGCGUGUCCAGAGCUCCAGAGCUUCUGCAGCUGCCGAGCCUAUGGCGCCCCAAGUUGUGCGUGGUGGAGCAUGAGACAGAGCUGCUAGCCACUAGGAAGACGAGCCUGAGGCUGAUCCGAGGUCAAUCAAGACCAAUCUGGCUUCAUGUACACAGUAACCCCAGCUACAGAGCGUCUGAGGCAGAGGAUGGCUAGUUUGAAACUAGCCUGGGCAACUCAGGGAGACCCUAUCGCAAAACUGAAAAAUAAAAAAAGUACCGGGGAUGCAGCUUAGUAUUAGGCACCUGCUGGGUUGGGGGGGUUCCAUCCUAGUGCUGGGGGUGGUACAGUUCCCAAGCAUGGUGACCCCACGGCCAGGCACAGCUGUAGCUGCCACAGCUGUGGGCAACCAGCGACUCUGAGGCCAGGGUCACAUUAGGCCACCACACCACAUGCACAGGGUAGCCCCUGUAUGAACACCAGCACCAACUGCAAGGCUGGGGACUUGCACUGAGGUGACGAGGCAUUUCCAGCAUCUCCAGGGCUUGCAGCUGUCCAAUCCUAACUCCAAGACUGUCAAGGCUUUGGCCUGGUCUUCCCAGGGGCCAAGGCACAGCCUGGAAAGGCUAAUUAUUGUUGCUGACCCCUGCACACCACCUCCCCACUUCCUGGUGACCUGGGACACUCUGUACCCGCCCUGCCACCUCAGCCUGGGGCCAGCAUGGGCUUGACCCCAGGAACCUGCGAGCCCUUAACUCUCCUCCCACGAUUGUGGGUAUCGGGAGGAUGACCAAUGCCAUGGUGGCCAUCCUGGCCCUGAAGUCCUCUACGUCCAGGGAAAGCUGCACCUCGAAGGCCACCUUAUGGAACCCAGGGCCAGGACUCCACCGCUCAAAACCAGCCAAGAUAAUGAGAUCCAAACCAGGGCUGGACUCGGUUUGCCAGCUUCAUAAGUGUUGGGCGCAGGCGCUCAACAUACCAUACCCCACCCGGGACUAAGGACCACGCCAGCUUCCGCAAUGCGCUACGUCCCUCCUUAAAUUAGCCAACCCGUGUGCACUUCGUGCUCACUCCAUACUCUGUGGCAACUCCUGAUUGGCCACAGCUGGAUAUAGUAGCCGGAGCCUACAUCCCAUUCCCGCCCUGCUUCCUUGUGGCAGCCUGUGAUUGGUCACGGCCGAAUAUAUAAACCAGAGCCCGCCUAAAUAAACUAGCAGUUAACUGUCGUCCACAAAA